UAGCCCGGUAGUGUAGCGGUCAAUCAUCCGAGGCCCUGGACCUCGUGACGGCGGUUCGAAUCCGUCCCGGGCUAUC
rnacentral:tRNA from 1 species